GUACUCUUUUUCUCUUCAAACCGUAUAAAUCUUUCGCCUUUUACUAAAGAUUUCCGUGGAGAGAAAGAUAAAGAGUUCAGUUGAAUUUUUUUGUUGCCUUAUUCCUUAGUAAGGCU